GUUCAAAGAUCUGUUUAGUUGAAAAGGCAGAGAGGGUCUAUUCAGGAUUAGACUGUUUAAAGUUGAAAAGUGAGAGAGUCUAUCAUGGUUGGACUGUUUUUGGUGAUGGCAUGAACUUGAGAAAAAGCAAAGUCCAUUUGCAUAGUACAUACCCCCUCCGUCUCAAAAUGUAAGACGUUUUUUAACACUAUGUUAGUAUCAAAAAAUCUCCUACAUUUCGAGACAAAGAGAGUAAAAUAUUAUUUUUAUUCAAAUUUAAGCUUUAGUCAAAUUCUUCGCAUAAUAUGUUAUUUACAACUACAAAAGCAUAGCCAUACAAAAAACAUUUCUAAAAUUCCCAUAAAAACGUUUCCAAAUAAGAAUCCAAUUGUUUUGGUAACGUUUCAUAACACCAUCUGAUUAGUUUAGUAAUUGUUGAUUCAAGCAUGAAUGCAUGGUCUUAGAUAUUAAAGUGUAUGUUUAGUUUGUUGAGUGAAUUGUACAAAAUCUCAUAUUGAAAGGAACAUAUAAGUGUGUUAAAAAAAGGAACAUAUAACACUUCAUCAGGCCUGUGGAGUCUUUUACUCUAUUUUUUUCAGAACCACACAAUUGUGCUAAUAACUCAUAGAAUCACACAUCUCAUGACAGGGGGCAUCGGUGCAUGCUCAUUAGAUGAAGAAAAACGAGGACGCUGACAUGUGCAAAAAUUGUUCACAUCCACGAGCAAUUCCAUGUUGGUCUAACUUGUAGGCACGACAUGAUAGAUUGGCUUUUAAACACGUGAUUUCACUCGUAUGUGAAUGUAUAACACAACUCAUGUGUUCAUGGGAAAUAAUAUCAGGUGGUUGUUGUAAGUUCUUUGAAACAAGGGUGUUAGAGCAUAUUUCUCCGUAUGUGAUUUUGGUAAUUGAUGAUAAUUCCUAUGGACUAACGGUUGCCUUAAGUUAUAUUCGAAGGAUUUGUUCAUAAGCACUUAUUAAAGUCCAACUGUUGGUUUUAAGGAGUUUAUAUGAUGACCAAGGUGGUAUUCAAGGUAUUAUCCAAAGAAUGGUCAUAAAGACACAAGCUUGAUCAAGACUAAGAGCAUCUCCAACACGCGCCCAAAAACUGCUCCGCGCGCUAAAAGAUCCGUUUUUUGGGCGCCGGACUGCUCCAGCAGAAGCUGCAAAACACUGCGCGCGCUAAAAACUUUUGGGCGUGCGCUCAAAAAUGCUAGCGCGCGCAUCAUAUUUGGUGCGCUGGCUUGCGCGCGCAGCAAACUCUAAGCUGCUGCAGAUGGGACCGCUGGAUCGGACUGGAUUGGGCGCCGCACUAGCGCGCGUCUGUUGGAGAUGCUCCGGUCCCCGCGCUUCAAAACUGCUACAGUGGCGCGCUAAAAAAUUUAUUGGGCGCGGAUUUUUUGCGCUGCCGUUGGAGAUGCUCUAAGAUAAAGUGUAAAUCAAGAUGAUCAACACACAAAGCGUACAAGAUGUACCGAGAGGGAUCAAGUGAUCCCAUGGUAUGGUAAGCAUUGUCCAUUACACUUUUCUGUACUAACUCAUGGUCUUCGUGUGAGUUCUGUGUGGGGUUAGAUGUGUGUUUUCAUGGGUUUGCAUCAAGAGAAAUAUCUCAUUCAACCUAUGAAGGAUGACAUCAAGUGGUGAUCGUCAUCAAGAUUGCGGUGUGCAAGUUUAAGUGGAGCAUCAUGAAGAUAUCAUGCUUGAAGCUUGCCGUCCAUUGUGGUGGCAAUGGACUUGUGAAGAUGUGCUGAAGAGUGGCUCACCCAUAGUGAGCGUGGGGAAGCAAUCAAGAAAGGUGGUCCAUCUUGAGGAAGGCAAGACCUUCAUCAUCUAGCUCAAGAUGGCUAGGUGCAAGGUAUAGGUUUGCCCUUGAUAGGUUUUUCUAUUUUAGGAUAGAUUGUCGUACUGUCAAGAGGGGCUCUCAAGUGAGUAGCUUGAUCGUAUUGUUCGUUGAGAGCUCAAACCAUUUACAUCCUUGCAUCAUAUUUCUUGGUUCUUGUUUGGUGUAUCUCUAGAGUAUUUAACAAAAAAACUACCACAAUUCAUGAAACCGUAACUACAAACUACCACUUUACGAAAACUACCACUUUUUUUGCUAAUAUGUGACUAAAAACUACCAAGUGUGUACAACACGAGAUUUGGCUAAUUUAAACUCGAUUAUGACAGGGUUGGCCCACAUGCCAGGACGGAAAAAUUCACCACCGUUAAGUUUGACCGUCAACCAGAGAAAGAGAUCGAGAUGGCGGCGCUCCGACGUGAGAAGGGCAACGGGGAGGUUCGGGGGUGGCGGAUCCGGGGCGGCGCCUGCCGGAUCUGGAGAUGGCGAUCAGGCUGGACGACGACAGGAGACCUGCCGCCGGCGAGGCAUGGGGCGGAGGCCACUCGAGGCGAGACCAUGGCGACGGGCGGCAGGGAUGCGCAGGGAGCGCGAGGCGGCGGGAUCCGGUCACGACGGGGUCGGCGAUCGCCGGGGGUACUCCGAUGGCCGCGGCGGCGGCGAGCCCGACUAUGGGUGUGGUUGUGGGCGAGGGGAGGCGAGUGGGGGCGCACACGCUAUGGGAGCUCGGGUCCCCGGGAGACGGCAGACGCGGUCGGGCCAUGCGGGCCCUACAUGUCAUAAUGGUGAUUAUAACUGUCAAAUUUAACGGAGUUAACUAUUAUGCCAAGUCAACACUUAUGCGUGGGCCACCCCUAUCAUAAUUGAGUUUAAACAAGCCAAAUCGGGCGUUUUACACACUUGGUAGUUUUUAGUCACAAAUUAGCAAAAAAGUGAUAGUUUUCGGGACAAAAUCUUAAAGUGGUAGUUCGUAGGCACGGUUCCAUGAAUUGUGGUAGUUUUUUAAAAUACUCGUUCUCUUUGUGAGAGAGCUUAUUGGUCAUCUUCAUGACAAGCUCGAGUUCAUCGAAAACGGAGUCUAUAUGCAUCUUCUAUGAUGUUUUCAAUGUUGUAAGUUUUUGUCGGUCCGUCAUUCAUAGAUGUUUCACAUCUCUAUAUCGUUGGCAUUUUCAUUGCCACAUGUUCUUAAGAUUUCCUGAAUCCUAAAAGCUUGAGUUUGGAUAGCUCUUGUCGUCCCGAAUCCAACAAGCUUGAGUUUGCUCGAUUCGGAUCUCGUAUGCGAAUGUUACGACAGUUUCUGUGGCGAGCGGUAGUAGUUUUUUACUACUGCUCUCUGGCCGUAGUACCGUCUGUUCGGACUUUUGCACAUCCGCAGCCUCAGCGGUAUUAGUCACGAAAUUAAUUUUUUUACUUCUGUGGUUGGUGGAUCUACCGUGCGGUAGUAUCGCCCCUAGCAGCGGUAGUACCUCCCCUAGCAGCGGUAGUACCGCUGUGCUCGGACUGUAUGUGAGGGUAAAAAACAGAUUCUUCCCCCACUAUAUAAAGGGGGAUUUUUUUUCCUUUGGACCUGAUCGAUCUGUUGAGCUCAUGUUCUUCUUCCAUUGUUGACCUUCUUCGAUCUUGCUAACUCUCAAUCCCUCCAAUGAUUCUUGCUAGUUCUUGAGGAAGAAGAGAGAGGAGAUCUAGAUCCACAUCUCCAUCAAUCACUUUCUCCUCUAUGUGAGGGGGAACCCCUUGGAUAUUGAUCUUGGAGUUCUUUGUGAGCUCCUUGUUCUUCCUCUCAUAUUCCUUCAUAGCUUUUGUUGUCGUGGAGGGAUUUGAGUGUGAGGGACUUGACCACUUUGUGUGUUCUUGCCAUUGCAUUAGUUGCAUCGGUUUCAGUUCUACACGUUGAUACGUGGAAGUGAGAAGUUGAGAAGCUUAUUACCCUUGGGUGCUUGGUACCCCUAGUGAUUGUUCUUCGCGGAUGCUUUGACAUCCUAGAAGCUUGGUGGUGCCUCGGAGUCAUAUGCCUUUGUGGUGAAGCUUUGUGGUGUUGUUGGGAGCCUCCAAUUAAGUUGUGGAGAUUCCCCCAGCCUUGUUUGUACGGUUUGAUGACUGCCCUCAAGGGUCCCUUAGUGGAAUCAUGGCGUCUUGCACUGUCGCGAGGGCGUGAGGAGAUUACGGUGGCCUUAGUGGCAUCUUGGGGGGCAUUGUGCCUCCACACCGCUCCAAACGGAGAUUAGCAUCCGCAAGGGUGUGAACUUCGGGAUACAUCGUCGUCUCCGUGUGCCUCGGUUAUCACUUACCCGAACCCUUUACUUAUGCACUUUACUUUGUGAUAGCCAUAUUGUUUCUUGUUAUAUAUCUUGCUAUCACUUACUUGGUUAUCUUGCUUAACAUAAAUUGUUGGUGCACAUAGGUGAGCCUAGUUGUUUUAGGUUUUGUGCUAGACAAAUUAAACGUUUGUUUUAUUCCGCAUUUGUUCAAACCUAAACCAUAAUUAUUUUAAAGCAUCUAUUCACCCCCCUCUAGGUGAAAUCCACAUCCUUUCAAAGGGUUCUGCGCUAUUUACUCUUUGUUUCAUUUUUGUAGACAACUCUUAUCUUGAAAUGUUAGAUGUAGACCUUAACAUGUUCCAAGGGACCUUUUUAAUAUUUUUUAGUUCAAUAAAUAAAAUUUAUUUUGAAAUAAAAAUACUUUACUUUUGGGGUUUUGGGUUUUUGCUCGGGCUUGGGGCAAACUAUUGGGGAACGUUGCAUGGGAAACAAAAAAUUUCCUACGCACACGAAGACCUAUCAUGGUGAUGUCCAUCUACGAGAGGAGAUUAGAUCUACAUACCCUUGUAGAUCGCUCAGCGGGAAGCGUUAAGAAACGCGGUUGAUGUAUUGGUACAACUUCGUGAUUCAAAUCACCGUCGUCCCACGAUCCGUCCCUCGAAUCAUUCCACGAUCCGUCCCACGAACCGUCUCGCGAUCCGUCCCACGAUCCGUCCUGAUCUAGCGCCGAAAGGACGACACCUCCGCGUUCAGCACACGUACAUCUCGAUGAUGAUAUCGGCCUUCUUGAUCCAGCAAGAGUGACGGAGAAGUAUAUGAGUUCUUCGGUAGCGUGACGACGUGCCGGUGUUGGUGAUGAUCUAUUCCUGCAGGGCUCCACCCGAGCUCCACAGAAAUCUAAUCUAGAGGAAGAACUACGAGGUGUAGGUCUCAGUUGCAUGUGGCAAAGUUGUGUUUUAAACAGCCCUAAACCUCUAGUAUAUAUAGGAGGAGCCAAGGGGUGGGGCAAAGCCCUAGGGAGCUGCUACUUCUCAAACAACAGCGCCAGAAAUUGGCACGUUGACGGAGACUUGGCUUGCGUUGGUUUUUCCCUUGAAGAGGAAAGGGUGAUGCAGCACAGGAGCAGUAAGUAUUUCCCUCAGUUUGAGAACCAAGGUAUCAAUCGAGUAGGAUAAUCUCGUCAAGUCUAGAGUACCUGCGCAAACACAAAAGAGCUUGCACCCAACGCUAUAAAGGGGUUGUCAAUCCCUUCAAGAUUGAUUGCAAAGUGAGAUCUGAAGGUGAAAAGUGCAACGAAGUAAAAGUGUAAGGCUGAAAAUAUGAUGUGAAGUAGACCCGGGGGCCAUAGUGUUCACUAGAGGCUUCUCUCAAAAUAGAAAAAUAUUAUGGUAGGUGAACAAAUUACUGUCGAGCAAUUAAUAGAACCGCGUAAAGUCAUGACGAUAUCUAAGGCAAUGAUCAUACNNNNNNNNNNNNNNNNNNNNNNNNNNNNNNNNNNNNNNNNNNNNNNNNNNNNNNNNNNNNNNNNNNNNNNNNNNNNNNNNNNNNNNNNNNNNNNNNNNNNNNNNNNNNNNNNNNNNNNNNNNNNNNNNNNNNNNNNNNNNNNCGCAAAGUCAUGACGAUAUCUAAGGCAAUGAUCAUACAUAUAGGCAUCACGUCCGAGACAAGUAGACCUAUACUUUCUGCAUCUACUACUAUUACUACACACCUCGACCGCUAUCCAGCAUGCAUCUAGUGUAUUGAGUUCAUGACGAACAUAGUAAUGCUUUAAGCAAGAUGACAUGAUGUAGAGGGAUAAACUCAAACCAAUGAUGAAAACCCCAUCUUUUUAGCCUUGAUGACAACAACACGAUGCGUGCCUCGCUACCCCUUCUGUCACUGGGUGAGGUCACCGCACGGUAUGAACCCAAAACCAAGCACUUCUCCCAUUGCAAGAAUCAUAGAUCAAGUUGGCCAAACAAAACCCACAACUCGGAGAGAAUUACAAGGAUNNNNNNNNNNNNNNNNNNNNNNNNNNNNNNNNNNNNNNNNNNNNNNNNNNNNNNNNNNNNNNNNNNNNNNNNNNNNNNNNNNNNNNNNNNNNNNNNNNNNNNNNNNNNNNNNNNNNNNNNNNNNNNNNNNNNNNNNNNNNNNNNNNNNNNNNNNNNNNNNNNNNNNNNNNNNNNNNNNNNNNNNNNNNNNNNNNNNNNNNNNNNNNNNNNNNNNNNNNNNNNNNNNNNNNNNNNNNNNNNNNNNNNNNNNNNNNNNNNNNNNNNNNNNNNNNNNNNNNNNNNNNNNNNNNNNNNNNNNNNNNNNNNNNNNNNNNNNNNNNNNNNNNNNNGAUCCAAGAGAGAGAAGAAGCCAUCUAGUUACUAGCUAUAGACCCGUAGGUCUAUGGUGAACUACUCACGCAUCAUCGGAGAGGUCAUUGUGUUGAUGAAGAAGCCAUCCGUAUCCGAAUCUCCCCUCCGGCACGGCACCAGAACGUGCCCUAGAUGGGAUCUUGCGGAGACAGAAACUUGCGGCGGCGGAAAAGUAUUUUCGUGGCUCUCCUGAUUUUUUUCUGGGAUUUUAGGGAAUUUAUAGGCGAAGGAGCUAGGGCAGGGGAGGCCCAGGGAGCCCACAAGCCUGGGAGGCGCGGGCCCCUUGGCCGCGCCAUGAGGGCUUGUGGCCUCGCCCGGGACUCCCUGCCUUGGUUCCCAAGCUUUCUGCGUAUCUUAUGUUUCGGAAAAAAUCUUUUCGGAAGUUUUAUUCCGUUUGGACUACGUUUAAAAUCCUCCUCUGAAAAGGGUCAAAAACACAGAAAAACAAGAACUCGCACUUGGCACUGAGUUAAUAAGUUAGUCCCAAAAAAGAUAUAAAAGGCAUACAAAACAUCCAAAGUUUGACAAGAUAAUAGCAUGAAACCAUAAAAAAUUAUAGAUACGUCGGAGACGUAUCACGCGCCGGCCAAAGGAGGCCUUCCUUGGGUCGGCCGAAGUGGGAGGGAGGAGUCCUUCUCCAAUCCCACUUGGAUUAGGACUCCUUCCUUAUUUUCCCACUUCUUUCAGAUUUUCCACUUUUUCCUCAUGGGCUUUCCUUAGAUGAAUUUGUUAGCCCAUUAUACCUUAUUGUACAUCCAAUAAACCCACGCGGACCCCUUGGGGCGUGGUGGGCCCACCCAGUGGGCCCCCGGAACCCAUUCGUCACUCCCGGUACACUGUCGGCAAUGCCCAAAAACUUCUCGGAAUCCAAACACCAACUUCCUAUAUAUCGAUGUUCAUUUCCGGACCAUUCCGGAAACCCUCGUGGUGUCUGUGAUCUCAUCCGGGACUCCGAACAACCUUCGGUCACCAACACAUAUAACUCAACUAUACUAAAACAUUAUUGAACCUUAAGUGUGCAGACCCUGUGGGUUCGAGAACUAUGUAGACAUGACCGAGACACUUCUCGGUCAAUAUCCAAUAGUGGGACCUGGAUGCCCAUAUUGGAUCCUACAUAUUCUACGAAGAUCUAAUCGGUUGGACCUCAGUGCCAAGGAUUCAUAUAAUCUCGUAUAACAUUCCCUUUGUCCUUCGGUAUGUUACUUGCCCGAGAUUUGAUCGGCGGUAUCCCUAUACCUAUUUCAAUCUCGUUACCGGCAAGUCUCUUUACUCGUUCCGUAAUACAAGAUCCCGUGACUCACACUUGAGUCACAUUGCUUGCAAGGCUUGUGUGUGAUGUUGUAUUACCGAGUGGGCCCCGAGAUACCUCUCCGUCACACGGAGUGACAAAUCCCAGUCUUGAUCCAUGCUAACUCAACGGACACCUUCGGAGAUACCUGUAGAGCACCUUUAUAGUCACCCAGUAAUGUUGUGACGUUUGAUACACACAAGGCAUUCCUCCGGUGUAAGUGGGUUACAUGAUCUCAUGGUCAUAGGAAUGAAUACUUGACACGCAAAAAACAAUAGCAACAAAAUAACACGAUCACAUGCUACGUUUAUAAUUUGGGUCUUGUCCAUCACAUGAUUCUCCUAAUGAUGUGAUCCCAUUAUCAAGUGACAACACUUGUCUAUGAUCUGGAAACCUUGACCAUCUUUGAUCAACGAGCUAGUCAACUAGAGCUUACUAGGGACAGUGUUUUGUCUAUGUAUCCACAAAUGUAUUUGUCUUUCCAAUCAAUACAAUUAUAGCAUGGAUAAUAAACGAUUAUCACGAACAAAGAAAUAUAAUAAUAACUAAUUUAUUAUUGCCUCUAGGGCAUAUUUCCAACACAAAUAACUAGAGCAUGCAGAUGUGAGUCUAUCGGCAUCAUCUGCCCAUUUAGUUAGCAACACCAAAAAACAUGUAUUUUCCCCACGUAGACUCAUUUUUUUCUAAGACGCACGCAUGUCUAUUAACCAAGCGAGCAAUACAAACACCAAGAAACUAGAGAAAUUACAUCGAAGUCCCUUGGGUGAUAGUCUUGGUCAUCCAUGAUCGGUUAAAGGCACGCUUCUUUGUGAUUCUUCAAUGUUAGAGCAAUUGAGACAUUCUAGCUUAAGAGGAGAUAGACUACUCAUAUCAAUAAGGUGCAUCUUCUUCUCGGAAACUCGUCUCCAAAAAAACAUGCAUGUUAAGCAUGCUUGGCCUAGGGUAAUUUGAGGAUGGGUGAUCGACCGUUUUUUUUCGGAUGCACAUGAGUGAGCAUAAAGUGUACAUGAAAGACUAAUGUUGGUUUACGUGGCCCAUAUAGACCCCCUCCCAAUGAGUAUUAGUAAGGAAUCAGUGGAUGUGUCCAGAGCAUUACAAAUGGUAUCAGAUACAACCCUUGUGGUUACACAGACGUGUGAGGGUUGAGGGUGCCGGCAUGUGGCGCUUCACGCAUGUGACCCUGUCAUGACACACAACAUGACACAUGGUGACACUAGAUUGUGCAAAGAUGGAACAUUCUCGUUGCGCAUAGGAGGACAACGAUUUCUUUGAUUAGGGGUGCAUGCCACAUCCUGACAUGAUUGGAAUGAUAUAGUACUCAUAUCGUUACACCUUUUUUUCUGGAAGCUCGUCUCCAAAGGGCCUAUAGGUUAAGCAUGCUUGGUCUAGGGUAACUCAAGGAUGGGUAACUGACUGUAAUUUUUUCCUAGAUCCGCAUGGUUGAGGAUAAAGUGCGCAAACACAACUAGUAUUGUUAUGUGGGGUUAGUCUAGACCUCGCCAAGCGUAACAAUCACGAUCUGAUGCCUGUGAUCGGAGCCUUGCACACAUCAUGUGAUUGUUGAUUGCAAAUGGGAAGCCAUCAAGAACAUGAACCUGCGAGUCGUCGCCCUGAAGAAGAAAACAUAGUCGCAUAAGAUUUCUUUUUGCGCUCGAGCCACAACUAUGAAAAGGGUCAAAAUAAAAAACCUAUCUAAAAGCCCAAGAUGAAAAAGGUACAACUCUACCUAGUAGAUUGAAGCAUCCUUGCUUUUUUCGCACCGACGUUCCAGCAAUGGAGGAGGAUAAGGCGAUGCGGUGGUCCGAAAGAUCGCCUCUAGGAAAGGAACGGUGGGAGGUGGAAGUUUUUUGUCAUUACAAACGGAAACCUAUAGUUUGUGUAGGGCACAUUUAAAUGGACAUAGUUAAUGCACAUCUAAAUGACUAAAUCAAGCAUAAAAAAAUUUACCCACGCGAAUCUCUCCGUAAGAUUAAUGAUAUAGGACCUAGAUGCGCAACACUUAUCUUACAUCUAGAUGUGUUUUUAGCAAAAACCAUUUAAUAUAUGAGUUUCGACCUUCCACUCAGCCCAUUCAAACUGUGUAAACGGAGGGCCGUACUAAUCCUACAUGGUUUAUAUAUCCAGUUCUCAAAUUUGACCAAAACUAUCUUUGCACGAUACGAAAAAUAUAUGAUCAUUUGCACGAUACGCGAGAAUCACAACAUAAGUUCUUUGGAGUAAGUUAAUUAAGUGGCUUAGAGUAUAGAUCUGCCGAUGACGAGCUCACUAGGAGCCGGCCAUGGCGGAGGCUCUGCUUGGGAACGUCCCCGACGGCGCAAGAGAGGAGAGGAGGAGGAAAACAGAGACCUAGGGUUGCGGGGAGGGGGCGUGGCUGCUUAAAUAACCUCGGAAGGUGCGCUUGGAACCACCAGAUCGAAGGGGGAGGAAGAUCAGUGGUGGAGCUUCUGUCGUACCGUGAUGACGUCGCGAGGAGGAAGGAGAGGGUCGUCUGGUGGGCUGCGCGCGCGAGGAGAGGAGAGAAUGCGCCAGGGAGAAGGAGGCCAGCCCACCUGGCGCAAGAUAGCAAGGAAACAAAUUCAAAAGGUUUUCCUCUUUUUAAAAUACACAUUCAAACCAAAAUUCACAAAGCCACCGAGGGGUUUGAAGAAAACAAAAUAAAAAUAUCUAGGGCAUAAGGGAAUUAUGCCCUAUUUAAAUAAAAUAUAAAACAUAUUUUUGGAGCAACUAAUUUAAAUGCAAAAACAGAAUACCUAUGCUGUUUUUGUAUUUAAACUCCCAUUUCACUUAAGUUUUAAAAACCCCAAAACAAUACCCCUCAUGCUCAACAUAACACACUAAAAUAAUAACAUUUUUAAAACAGGUUUUGAGCAAGUUAAACAUGAUCUCAAAUAAAUAAUGGUGAAGGUUUUUUUUAAACCUAGUUGAAACAAUCAUGGUUUGAAAUCCUCAUCACAUCAACACAACACACUCCACUCAUGAUGGAUCAAGCAACAACAUCACACAAUGGAAUUGACAUGAAUGCAAUGAAUGCCAUGAUGCAAAGGUGAUCACACAAAACUAAGCCACAUGAAAUGAUAACUCUUAUAGCAAUGACAUCAUGAUCCAAAAUAGGAAAGGGAUCCAAAUAUGGCAAGGGUUACAUCUGGGGCAUUACAGGUUGUCAACCAUUUUGUAAUCGUGGAAUUGCUCCAUAACAUACAUCUCGCUCCCAACAUCGGUGGCCCCGAAUUUAGAUUCGAGCGCCUCCCACAACUCUUUGGCAACAUGCAUAUGUAAAUAUGCAUCAACCAGCUUAUCUUCGAUCACGCUUAUAACUGCUCCAAGGAAUAGGAUGGUGGCCUCCGCGAACAUCUUCUCCUGUUCAGAAGAGAUCGUUCCCAUGGGAGUGACACCGGCUACCCAGAACACGUUCAUAGCCGUGAGCCAUAAGGCGGUUCUCGUUUGCCAACGCUUGAAAUACGUACCGGUAAACUUAUCCGGUUUCAGUGUAGCAGCAAAACCAUUAUUCGAAAAAUUCCUACACACAUUAGGUUUUUGGAUUGUUGAGUAAAUAGGCAAUUUUUCGAGUAGCUUAAUCCACGAGAUAAUAACUAGCAUGGCAUUGACUAGACUAAUGACAUACUGAUCAUGAACUAAUCUAGCACAUACUACGCAUAUAGUUGAUACAUCUAUGCAUGCAAGUAGUACUGCUAGGAUUGAAACGAACAGGAGUGGGAUAAACGAGUUAUACCCUCCAGUAGUCCAGUUGGCCGUAGCAGCGGCGUUGGCGGCGGACACAGCCGUAGCAGCAGCAUCCUCUGCCCUCUUCUUCUCAGCUUCAAGGGCGAGACGAUCGGCCUCAGAUGGUUCAGCCAUGGCGAUGACGAGGACGUAGACGAAGCUGACAAAUGGAGGCGAGCAGUCGCGUGAUCGCUCCCCAAAAACCUAAUCGCCCCUCUCCCGUACAGGAACCGAAGAGGCGGGGUUUCGGAGGCCUGCUCGCAUCCGUUACGUAUUCUCCGUUCCUGACCGGCAAAAAUAAGCGCGUAUGUAUGAACUCGGCUCGGCUCAUUCCCGCGUCGCGUCGAGUCGGGCGGCGGAGGAAGAAUGCGCGAGGGCCUCUUAUCUUCUCACUCUCCAAUAGCAUGUAGAAGAGAGACCCUUAUAAAGGGGUCCAACUUCUUCUCCACUAGCGGGGUGGGACUAAACUUCCCACCACCACCUUGUCAUGCCACCACCUACAUGGGCCUUUGGAAAUUUCUGAAAUUCUCUUAUGAGCCUAAGGCCCAUUACUAAUUUCAACACAUUCCAGCAAUGAAGGAGGAUAUGGCGAUGCGGUGGUUCGAAAGAUCGCCUCUAGGAAAGGAACGGUGGGAGGUGCAAGUUUCUUGUCAUUACAAACGGAAACCUAUAGUUUGUGUAGGGUACAUUUAAAUGGACAUAGUUAAUGCACAUCUAAAUGACUAAAUCAAACAUAAAAAAAAUUACCCACACGAAUCUCCACGUAAAAUCAAUGAUAUAAAACUUAGAUGCGUAACACUUAUCUUACGUCUAGAUGUGUUUUAGUAAAACUGUUUAAUAUAUGAGUUUCAACCUUCCACUCAACUCAUUCAAACUGUGUAAACGGACCGUACUAAUCCUGCAUGGUUUAUGUAUCCAGUUCUCAAAUUUGACCAAAACUAUCUUUGCACGAUACGAAAAAUAUAUGAUCAUUUGCAAGAUACGCGAGAAUCACAACAUAAGUUCUUUGGAGUAAGUUAAUUAAGUGGCUUAGAGUAUAGGUCAUGUCCCCCCGUGAGAAGUACCGUGGCGUACUCCAUAAACUUGAUGGAAAUCAAUUAAUGUCGUGUCCAUUAAGAAUCUGAAAUGCGCUCUCCACAUUUAGUAAACAUCAAAUAAGAAUUCGUCUCGUGGAAUUUGUACUCUUACAUUUUCAUCAUCAUGUAUUUACAUUCGUUAAAUAUGCAACCUUAAUCCUUUCCGCAAGCGCACAUGACAGAAAUGCUAAACGUUUAUGGGUUGCCCUUCAACACGGCUUUCUUCUACCGUCCGUUACUCGCCCCGAAACGUGCAUGAGGAUGAGCUUAGGUUGCAAGUAAAACGUGUUUGCACUGCUUCACCCUCAGCCACCAAAUGCCCCAAUCUCCACGAGAUAAACGGUGUAAGCUAUAAAUAGGGAUCCCUGACUAGUGUCGUCCGGAAAAUAGGCGCGCGCAAGUCCAAUCGGCAAGCCGAUGAACAGAACGAAUAGGAAUAGGCGGUUGAAUCGAAGGUGGUUGCUGUUCUUCCUCGCGUGAUGUACCAGAAAAAUGCUGCGAUCUCUACGGGUUUGUUUAGAUCUUCUCGUUUUUGCAGUGCCUUCCGGAGCUCCACGUUUCCCGUCACGGUUCUUGACCGCAUUCUCUCGACUCCGUAAUCCAAGAAGAACGUUGGACCGAGAAUUUGCGUGGAGGGGUAAUCUAAGGAGAGAUUCUUGGAGACAAGGACAUGAGCAGGUCUCCGGUCCCGGACGGCGGCGGCAAUGGCUUGCCGCCACUGAAACCGUCGGUGUCGCUGUCACCGUCGCCGACGGGCCCUCCGGAGAGCGACAUCAGCCACAUGCCGGACUCCCCGGCGCGCAGCCUCGGCCACCGCCGCGCGCACUCCGAGAUCAUCGGCCUCCCCGACGACCUCGACCUCGGCGUCCCGGGCUGCGGCGACGGCGACGGGCCGUCGCUGUCGGACGACAACGAGGAGGAGCUCUUCUCGAUGUUCCUCGACGCCGAGAAGCUCAACGGGCAGCUGCGCGAGGCGUCGGAGACGGAAUCGUCGUGCGCCUCGGCGGGCGCCGGCGCGGGGCCGAGGCCGCGCCAUCACCACAGCCAUUCCAUGGACACGUCGAGCUCUUUCGACGCGGAGCAGCUGCUUGGGACGCCGGCGGUGGAGGGGAUGUCGACGGUGGAGGCCAAGAAGGCAAUGUCCAACGCAAAGCUCGCAGAACUGGCGCUUGUCGACCCAAAGAAGGCAAAAAGGUUUGGCCUCUUCUCUUCCAUUCUUGCGAAAAUCCAUCAGUGAGGGAAUAUUUACAGCUGUUAUAUGGAUGAACAAAUAAUGAAAGGGGUCUGAAAUGCAGUCAAAAGAAACAAAAUAUAGAACAUUAGAAAACAACUACAUGAUGAAGAGAUUAAAGUUUACAAAUUACAACUGAUGGAAUGUGAUCGUGUGCGAUGUGCCCCUACUGAAGAGUACUAACAAUUACAAGAACUUAUUCCUAAAAAAAAAAAAAAAAAAAAAAAAAACUAAUGUUGUGUGUUUGAGGUGAAAAUCUCUCAGAUGAAAAUGCGAUCCCAAGAACAAGCAAAUCUUUACCUAGGAAAUGGCAACUAACCCUGGUUAGUCCUUCUGUUUGAAAAGCGCUUAAUUAUCUAUGUUUACCUAGUCUCCAUAAUUCUUGUGAUAGGAUUUGGGCUAAUAGACAAUCGGCGGCCAGAUCGAAAGAAAGGAAGAUGCGGUAUAUUUCUGAACUUGAGCGGAAGGUGCAAACCCUGCAUGCAGAAGCAACAACAUUGUCAACCCAGCUGGCACUUCUACAUGUAAGAACUGCCCCUCUUGAACUCUUGUUGUUCCCCUUCCCCCAUUAUGUUUAAAAAUGUGGAAGAAAAUCUUGACCUGUCUGUUUUGGUCGGCACCUGUAAUGCUUGUUUAGAGUGUAAGAACUAGGAACUAAGUAGAAAAAUCUUAUAGAAGGAUAACUUUGUGUUUAGAUGCGGAUCAUGCGUAUCCUCUCCUGUAGAUUUCAUGUACUUUUCACCAUCAUAGUGAAAAUUGUCCAAGCAUGUCAUUCAGCUACCUUCAACAGGUAGACAAUGCCAUCAUCCCCAUGUCUGUGUCAGGUUGUUUUAUCUAUCUUGCUAGCUGCUAGCUAGUGGUCUGCAUCUCAGUUCCCACUGUUAUGCUAACAACAGAAAGAGAAUAAAUAAAUAAUUUGCUGCNNNNNNNNNNNNNNNNNNNNNNNNNNNNNNNNNNNNNNNNNNNNNNNNNNNNNNNNNNNNNNNNNNNNNNNNNNNNNNNNNNNNNNNNNNNNNNNNNNNNNNNNNNNNNNNNNNNNNNNNNNNNNNNNNNNNNNNNNNNNNNNNNNNNNNNNNNNNNNNNNNNNNNNNNNNNNNNNNNNNNNNNNNNNNNNNNNNNAUACUGUAUUUUCUAAGGGUGCGUUAAUUAUGAGUCGAUGAACCAUGCAUCACUUCAGGUAGCUAACCUUGGUUCUCAUUGGCACGUUAAAUGACACAGAGAGAUACGGCUGGGCUCUCUACUGAGAAUAGUGAACUGAAGAUGCGCCUGCAGAAUGUGGAACAACAAAUCCACUUACAAGAUGGUAAAGUCCGUAAUUCCAGUUACUCGUUGUCUUUCACCUUCUUCGCUCUGCCAUGAAUGUAAGAGAAUCUUGCAUAUUCACCACGAGGGGGAAGGUGAUUAAUUAAUUGAAAGGUACUAUGAACUUCUUGAUCAGCUUGAGGGGUGCUCUAGCAUGUAAAAGAAGGAAAGAUAAUUUGUCAUGACGAUUUUUGGGUUUUUCGUCGAAAACUUACCGUCUGCUGCUGUUGUUGCAGCUCUGAAUGACGCACUGAAAUCUGAGCUCCAAAGACUGAAGAUGGUGACGGGCCAGAUGGGCAACACCAUCGGGGGGAUGAUGAACUUGAUCGGCCCACGCCCACCGCACUCGUUCGGAGGGAACCAGCCAAUGUUCCACAUUCAGGGCCAGGCUGCAAUGCAGCCACUGCACCAGAUGCAGCAGAUUCACCCUCAGCACCAACAGCCGCUGCUGCAUCCGCUGCAACUGCAAGCACAGCAGCUGCUGUUGCAGCAGCAGGCUUCUGCUGCACCACCACCCAACCCGAAGAUGAAACGGGCCAUCUCCGCUCCGAACCAGUGGAUUGGUGGGUGGCCCGAGUGCAGUGGCAACUGAUCGAGCUCCUGCUUGGAAUACAGGAAUUUCACAGGGAUACCAUGAAACGAAAAUCCCCACGUGGCAAAAUUCAUGCUAUCUGUCAGAGCUGGUUGGAUUCAGGGGGUUGUGGGGUAUCACCCAAGUGUAGAUUGAUCAUCAGCAAGUAUAUAGCCGAUAUACAGGGUUCAAGGCUGCUCAAGUUACAGUCAGUUGUCGAGUCUUCCUUCUGAAGAAAGAGUUUUGUUCUUAUGGGGUCUACAGGUGCAGUUGUUUGUUGAAGGAAAAUGUUACCAACUCAAGCAGAUUCUUCGGAUUUGAAAACUUCUGGGGUCUACAGGUGCGGAUGUUUGUUGAAGGAAAAUGUUAUCAACUCAUGCAGAUUCUUCGGGUUUGUCGAUACGCUGUCAAUCUGAUUAGGAAGCUGGUUUACAAAGGAAGAUGCUGCUGCAUUUCUUAAUCUCAUGCGCUGGCCUUUGUAUGUACAGAUUCUUUUCUUUGUUUUGGUCUGGGGCCUUUUCAUCGUGGAUUCCUGGUCACUUUUGGUGACUGGCAAGUUUUAGUGUCCUCUCUGAGUUAUUUGAAUACAAAAUGAUUCGUAUUUAGCAGCAUAUUCGUAGAAAAAACAAAGGCAAACUGUCAAGUCUAAUUUAUACUAGUGAUUUACAAAAGACUCACCAAUAGAGUACGUUAAUAGUUGAGUUAAUUGCACAAACCACAUGUUUUGGGACUAGGGUUGAAAAAGGGAAUUGCAGAUCCCUCAAAAAGGAAAAACACAGAACCGUAUAUUUUUAUUGAAAGUAAGAAUAUGGAUUAAGACACUUAACUGAAACAUGUUCCUUUCUUGGCGAGCGAAUCUGGCACUUAACUGAAACACACACCAAAUCUCCACAUAAAACACUGGGCAAGUGAGUAGAAGGAUUAGCACAUAUCUUUUUUUUUUUUUUGAACGGGAGGAUUAGCACAUAUCUUUAUAUCACUGAGGCUACAUUAUUCCAUUCACAACCAAAGGUUGCUAUGCACUUAAUACAAAUAAUCAUACUUUUGUAUAUUUUGCUGCCGAAAAUAAUUGUCACUCUACAUACAUGGUAAAUCACAAACAGAAAAUCAUUCUCUUCAGUUGCCUCCUGUAAAGUUGCAAGAUGAUGCUUUCACUCAUCGUCAUCAAGACCAGGUAUGAACAAUAGGUUGACGUCAAAUACGACAGGGCUGCUCGGAGCCACUCUUGGCCUCCCGGGAGCUGAAGUAAGGCCCUUAGGGAAUGCUAACUGCUCAGAUCAACAAGAUUGAAAAUUAUCACUAUCCUGUCUAGAUACCCUGGACUGAAGAAACACGGUGCAUGAUCAGUGGAGGAAAAGGUAAAGUUUUCUUGCACAAGAGCUAGUUUUGUUUUGUUUUGUUUUCGGCAUUGCUUUCUUAAACUCAACAAGGCAAGACUACUUACUUGACCGGGUAUGUACAACCGACGUAAUCCUCCAACUUUCAUCGACAAGAUCCCUUCAUCAAGUCCCUUUAUCACCUGACAAUUCCAAAGAUACGUAUGAGAGGACAAAACACCAUGCCAAAUCUGCUACUUUGAAGCUACGAACUGUAUAUAACUGAUCUCUAGGGUAAGCAAUGAAGCAAAACUGCUAGUUAUCGGUCUACAAUUGCAGAUGACAGAGAUGAUCAUGAAAUUCAUUUAGUUGUGCUAUUUAUUAGCAACAGGGGUUAUAUCCAUUGAAGAUGAAGGUGAGAACUGUCAAAAUAAACAGUGUUUGCUAGGCUCAGAUCAGUUCAGAGCUGUAUUGGGUUAAUUUUAGUCGUCAUCUUGAAGAGGGGCAUGCAAUGGCUGUGUGCCUCGCUUGAUGUAGAGGUCGGGGCAUGCAAUGCAUCAGAUCCUGCAGUAAAUACCUGUCCGGCGCCAACACGGAAUAUGUAGGGCUGGCCUUUCUCCAGCGAGCUGCACAACACAACAAACCAAUUAUGUGCAUUUUGCAAGUCCUGAACAGGCAGACGCUGAAUGCACUGUGAGCCUGUCACCCAUGAAAUGUGUUGAGAGAUCUCUCACCUGUCAAAUAUCUGUCCGUUUGGCACCAUGGCGAUGCAGUUUGCAGCAACCUACACGCGUGGUGGUUCGUGAGUGAUGAAGAAGCUUACGCGCUUGCACGCAAUUGUGGAAAGAGGGCAAAAAAGAAGAGGUAAUGGUGAGCACCUGGAAGCCAAUGGGCGGACUCGGGCCUCGGCCGACUUUGAUGUCCUUGUACUGCAAACCGGAUUCCGUAGUCACCAUAGGCAGCUGAAAAGGCAGGAGCGAAAAAAAUAAAAAAUUUGUGGCCUGAUUCCAUGAAUUCUGCAGGAAAUACUGCAUGAAUCAAGCAAACGAAAUGCUGCAUUCCAACGAAGUGGGUCAUGGCGAACGUACAUUUUCGAGCUCUGCCUCGCAGGCGGCGUCGCAGAGCUUGGGCUUCUCCUCCGGCGGCAGCCCGCCGGCGACGGCGUCGAGCGCGGCCUGCAGGCAAAACGCGGACGAGGACACCCCGAGAGCAACCGCCCCGACCACGCCCCUCCGGGUGACCACGCCGCCGCCGUUGUCGUCAGCUCCUCCGCAUUGCGGCAAGCUUCCGCCAGCGGCAGCCCUGCAGCAGCACGGCGCCCAGCUGUUGCCACCUCUGACGAACGCCCUGCCGCCGCCGCUGGGAAACCAGGCCCUCGAGCUAGCGCCACGCGGCCCUGACGGGAGGAGAAUCGGCGAGGCCGAGGAAGAGGCGGCAGCAGCCAUUGGAUUAGGGAGAGGUAGAGGGGGAGGGGGGAGGAGGAAGACGGCGGGGGAGAGGACCACGGACGAGCCGACGAGAGAGAGUGGAUAGAGCAAAUUAAAUCCGUCCAGCCUCCACCACUCGCUGCGCCUGCGCGCGUGCAGCACCACGCACGGGGCACGGCGGCCAUGCGACGCGACGGGGAUCAACGACCGAUGUGUUCAGCCUUGUUAAAGGACCCCGACGCGCGAACGCUCGUUUUUUUACCAUGGCAAUGUGUAACCGUGGAGCAGCUCCAACCGGCCGAUUCAAACCAACGAUGAUUUCAUCUAUUUUUUAUUCGUUUGGAUCCGCCUGACGGACACCAACAUUCGUUUCCGCAUUUGGAUCGGCACAUACGUCCAACGCUGGUCCGAUCUAUUUUUAUCCGUGCGUGAAAAUAAUAAUAAUCAAACAUUAAACCGGACACGAAGGCCGACGAGAGUCCGCGGAUCCCCGUUACAUUAUAAAUGAAUAGGAAAAAACACUAGGCGUCCUCGUCAUUGGCGGCGAGGUCGAGCUGCGCCGGACCAGGGACGGGCUGUGUCGGCGGGGUCAGUGCUGGUGUCGGCGGUGGCGCAGCACGGGCGCGCUCGUUCGCCAGGCGCAGUGCCAUCUUAGCAUGAAGGUAGGCGGCCUUUUUCAGGAGUAACGUGUGGGGAUAGACGACGAAGGUGUUCUAAGCGAAGCCGGGCGUGCUCGUGCGCCUGGCGCAUCGCCUUCUUAACCUGGAGGUAGGCGACCUCCUCUGGGAGCAUCGCACGGGCAUAGACGAUAAAUGGUGUCGCCGUUGUCCAUGGCUACGCUGGCGCGGAAACAGAUGGCCGAACUCCACCGCACACUCGGACUAAAAAAAGGCCGACCACGGUCGCUGACGCGUGGGCCCAAGGAGGGCGGCCGUCAUUGUUGACCGUGGUGGUUGGGGCGGAUACCGAGGGGGGGCGUCCGCUUCGCGUCUGCCCCGACGCAUUUUUGUCCCAAAUUUUGGUCGGAAAUUUGGAUAGAGCAAUUAAAUCACCGUUCACCGCCCAUUUAAGGAAAGCCUCGUCGUCGAUGGCCAUGUCCAGGUGCUCCUGCUUGACGGGGAGGAGCGUCGGCUCCGUCUUUGGCUUGAUGAGGCAGGAGGAGGUGCCACGCUAGUUGAUGACGAUGCCGCCGCUGCGCAUGCGCCGCCCUAGCGGCGUCUCCUGUGGUUCCGGUUUGAUGGGAAGGAGCGCCGGUGACCCGGAGGAGCGGGAGCGGGAGCCGGACGAGGAGGAAGACGUCGUCUCCACCCGCGUUAGCGUCCAAGAACUGUCGCGGUGGCGGGAGAAGGCGGGCGGCAGAGGGUAUUCGAACCGCGGCGAGUUGCCGCCCUCGAUGUGCUCGAGGACGACCUCCAACGUCCGACCGAGGAUGGCUCGCCAUAGGCGGCGCCCUUGGAGUUGUAGCAGCCGCGGGGUAUCCCAGUUGGUGGCGGCGAGCUGGUCGGCGUGACGAUGUUCGAAGUACAUCGUCCACAUCGUGUUGCUGUCGGGGGCGUACCUCGGCAGGUUCCGCGAGCUCUCCGACGGUGAUGACCAGAUGCGCGCGAUCUCUGCGUGCCGAUCAACUCCAGAGGGCGGCGGUGGCACCAGGACUCUGUCGUCGCUCAGCCUCCACGAGCCUGACACCCGCAUGUCCGGUGGCGCCGGGUAGUUCGCCUCGUAGAGGAGGCGGGCCUCAGACUCGUGCAGGUGGCGGCGGCCGAAGCCGUUGGCCGCUGCUCUGUCGUCGGGGUAGUGCUUGGCCAUUGGUGAAGAGAGGGAGAUAAGGUGUCGAUGAUGAAAGGGACGAAAAGAGGAGAGGGCAUUGAUGGCGAGAGUUUGACGAGAGAGGUGUGUGGCAACCGGCGAGGGAAGGGGCGGCUUAUAUAGCCGCGGGCCGGCGGCACGCGGGGCGGUAGCCAUGUGAACGUGUAACGGGAGUGGACGGGAUGUGUGUCGCCGCGCCUUCACUGCGCCGCCCGUGAAGAAUCAAUGAAAGGCUGACCUACGACACAACCUUCGCAUUGAUUCACAUGGAAAACGAGGUGAUGAGGACGAUGAACGCGCCUAGUAGCUGACUUGGCGGGUCCACACCCUUUCGCGCCAAAAGCGGUUCCCCCGACACUCCCGGAUGCCCCGAGCGCAUUAGGUUCGACUUGAGACCGUCGGGAUCAUUUUCGGUCCUCAUCGACGAAAAACAGGUUUAUAGAGUCGUGACUGGACCGUUUUUUCACGCCGUCGAUAAAAUAGGGCCUUGGGGGACCUAUUGGUGACCCUGCUGGAGAUGCUCUUGGGGGAUGUUUUUCACCCGACACGACCUGUAUACACCAACGACGACAACAAAGAAGAUGCUCUUCAGCACUCGAGGUGGCUCUAGGAGUCUGUCUAACAGAUUUAUACCAGCCGCGGACCAGCUUCUCGCCUCAUCGUUCAUUCAUCCCAUAAGCUGUGGAAUAGUGCACUCGGCGGGGUUGAAGACGCAGUUGCUGCGUUCUUCCGAGAGCAUCCACGAAAUCAAGCAGAUGGCCGAUUUCCAGGUCUUCUUUUCAUCACCUUGGAGUAAGCGCAGUUGCCGCUCCAAUUGUCUUUCAGGGUUUAGCUUGGCAGUGGUACAACCACCAUUGGCGUGAGCUACAGGAAGGAGCCUCCAACAUUGUCAAUGACAUCCAGCAACAGUCGCUUGGUGUAGGUGCAGUCUGCCAGCACGUAUUUGGCCGUCCCCGGUGCAGCUAAGAAGAGUAGGCAGACUGGGCUGUGCGCAAUGCCUCGGACAACCAGGUUAUCUGCUCUGAGGCACCGUCCAUGGGCGGCGAGCCAGCAAAACGUCUUCGCCAGUGGCGCCGCCUUGGCAGACCAGAUUAGCGUCUUGUCGUCGGACCACACAGCUCCUUCAAAUUAGCAUUGAUAUGCCCAUUUGGCGGGGGCGCCAUGGCCUGCUCCGGCGGCGGGGCGGGGGGGUCCGGGGUGGCGCCUGCGGUGGCGGAGGAGGGGGGUUGCCCCGUGGUGAGGUGGGGGCGACGGUUGCGGGGUGGGGGNGGGAUGGGGAGAGUGAGGGGGUGAGGGGGGGGGCUAACGCCCGUUAGAUAUGGAAGGGCUUUGCCGUCUCCGAGUGGACGACAAAGACCCUAAAGGCAGACGACAAAGAACAAGCGGGCGAUAUCCGUUGACUUAGCCAUUCCCAUGGUCCAGUGGGGCCCAGCUGGGCUCUUUGCCGUGAGCCUUUAGGAAUGUUGUCGUUUGCUGGAAGACGAUAAAGAAAGGAGUGAUGGUAAAUAAUAUAUUUUCACAAGUCUAUUCUUUGUAUUCUAUUUUGCGGAAGCACACGGCAAAGAACUUCUUUGCCAUCAACAAGCAGACGGUAAAGAGUGGAUUGAUGACAAAUUCUCUGAUUCCAGUAGUGAAACAAGAAAUAGAUGAGGUGGUGAAAAAUCUGCCUUCUAAUAAUGGAGUGUGAAGGAAAGUUUAUUAUUGUAAGAGGGGUGUUAGAGAGGGAGAUCCGCUCUCUCCUUUGAUCUUUGUUCUACAGUUGACUUUAUGCAAUCUAUUCUGAAUAAAGCUAUGCAACAAAGCCUCAUCCAGUCUCCAAUCAACACUCACGCAUGCCCAGACUUUUUAAUAAGGAGAACGCUUCAUAUCUAUAGUUUGAUAAGACCCCAAUAUCAGACCAGACAAACAUCGUCGAUCUAAUUGAAAUCUAUAACGCUGCAGAGUUCUGCUUCUUUUGUAAAUAAGGAAAUAGAAAAAAUUAAUUGUCACAGAGGUAAUCCCGCAAUGCCCGCACGUAAUCUUCUUCCUGGUCCACAGAUUCCAAUCGAGACACACAACACCGUGCACUUCCAGUCUCCACCUCGAGCGUAGUCCUGGCUCGCUCCUCGUCUAGAUUCCUUUUGCUCCGGCUCCGCCCCCUGCUCCUCCUUCUCUCCUCGUCGUCGAGCUGCCCGGCCACCCCAUCCUACAGUUCACUGAUGUGUCCCCCGGACAAUACCGUAGGUGUGCCAUCCUGGCAUUAUGGAGUCGAGCCCCUCGUGCUUUGGUUGGUUACAAAUUGGCUGGAUCGGCCGCCGGGGAGUACCCCCCUUGAAGCACCCAUCUCUAAAUCGAAGGUAUUGCACUGCUUCUGUCGCCUUGAUUUGAUGAUUUGUUAUUUUUGCAAUGCAAUUUUGUUUGUAAUUGAUCAAAGAGCCGUUUACUCAUUUUAAUUUAUGUUCAAUGUCUGCCUAGUAUUCAUGAAGUUAAUGUGUCUCCAAUACCUAUGCACGCAUUAAUCAUGGCUUUUCCGUAGUUUCAAUAUUCGGUGCUUCCAAUGAAUAUGACAAAUGUUGUGAUUUUUUUUUUCAUUGCUUCCUGUUUACAGAGCUUCCAAAAAUAUGUAUCCUCAGUUGGCACAAAUAUAUUUUUGUUUUAUGUUUCAAAAUUUGAUGCUUCCACCUAACACAAAUAAGGCACCCUUUGCAUUAUUUCUUAGCUUCAUACAUGUGUGCUUCUAUAUUGUACUCAUGUUGCUAAGAUGUCUAGAAAUAUGCUUCCCCUAUCAUAGUUUAUCCUAGCACAAGUUGUUUUACACAAUAAACAAAUUCCUACUUUUGUUCGAUGACAGUAAUCAUCUCAUAUUUGCGGCAACGGUUCUAAUAUUCAGUGAUUUGUACUGUGUUCUGCUUGCAAGAUUUCCCCUUUUUGCUAUAGAUAUUCGAUGCUACAAAUAUAUCCAUUAUGUGCUUGUACUUGCGGAUGAAUUUGAAAUACAACCAGACUUCUCAGGUUCAACAUCCUCUUCCUGCUGUCACCACUACCCCUUUUGCCUUUUUGAAUGAAUCUGAUGCUUGCUACAUAUGUAUCAUUCUUCUGCUUUGUAGAGUUAUAAGCAUUUAAACCAUGCUUCCAUUUUUUAUACUCUUGUUUUAUAUUACAUAGCAUGAAAAUUGAUGCUUGCAAAUAUCCAUGAUCUAGAAUUAUUGUACUCCACUCCAUAUAGAUUGUAUCAUUAGUCCACAAUUAGGUUGACAUAUUUUUUUCCUUGGGAGUAGUUCAUUCUUAUACAUGUUGCCAGUUAUAUUGACAAUGGACUAUUUUAAUAGCUAAUUAGUUGUAUGUUCCUAACUUAUUUGCAAGACAUAACUUCCUCCAUCCAAUGAUGCUAGCAAUUAAAAAAAAUCUAUGCUUCCAAUGUGUUUAUAUAUAUGUUAUGAUAUAAUGAAGUUGAUGCUUCCUAAUAGACAUGCUACUUUUCUUAUGUGUGUGUUUCUAUGGUAUAGCAAAUUUUUCUUCCAGCAUUGUAACUGUAUGCCUAUUUUUAUUGUAAAAUCAUUUUGAUGAAACCAUUAACAGACAUAUGUGCUUCAAUCACUACUAUUGUGUGCUUCAACCAAUGUCAAUGUUGCUUCAGUUGGUGAAACUUUACGAUUUUGAACCCUUUCUUUUAUGAACAACCAUCGGUGUGUGUUUUCUUCCUUCUAACUGAAUGGUUCUAAUGUACAUACACAUGCACCCGAUUCCAAAUAUGCUUCUUUGUUGUCCGCAAGAUGCCUUGCAAUGGCGUUGAGUGCCCUGUAACUGAGACAAACCCGUCACUUCUUUAAGUUGUCGGUUGCACUAGAACAUGGGAGAGCUCGUGGCACACGACGAUCUUGUCCACGACCGGCUUGUAAAAAGUGUUGUUGUAUAGUCUUCUAUUAAGUUGCAAAAAGGAAUUGUAAUAUUUUGUGCAAAUCCUAUGAAUUAUUUUGAUGGCUUGAUCUUUGUUGUGCUUGCCGAUGAUUUCUUUGCGAAGCAAAUGCUUCCACUAUAUAAGAAAAUGCCUCCUUUACACCAAAAAAACAUUUCCAUCUCCUAAAAAUAUAGCAUAGAUUAAAUCAUUCCUUUGAACAAUUUUUUUCUGCAGCACCACAAAGCAUAUGCUUCGAGCAUUUUGAAUCUUUCCAUGGCACAAAAGCAAUGUCUGCUUUGCAUAAAAGUGAGUCUCGAAAAAACAUUGGUAGUAUACUAGAUGCACAAUAUCUCCCGUAUGCUUCCAGCGGUUACAGAGAAUGUUCCCAUGGCAUAAAGAUGCACAUUAUCUCCAGUAAAUAUGGAUAAAAAAUGAUUUUUGGAAACAAUCCCGGGAAGCAUAAUUCUCGGAAGCAGGAAACAAAUCAUAACCAUAUUUAGCACAAUUCUUGGAAGCAUGAUUCUCAGAAGCAAAAAACAAAUCCUAAACGUAAUUACUGAAAACUAGCUACGACAAAGCCCAUCCCCGGAAAUAAACUACCACCGGGCCCAUGCAUGCAUAGCAGUUGCGAUGCACCAUUCAAUUAAUGCUACAAUCCAUCAAUCGCACGCGGGAGAUUAGUAGCUAAUCUGAUGGUCAACGUGCAUCUGAUCCAAAGGUCGUGGACCGGUCUGGUAGAUGCAAAGCAUCAGUAGUCUGAUGCCUAGUGCUCUCCUUUUAAUAAUUCAGCAUGUAGAUGAUACUAUCCUAGUACUUUCUGCACAUUCUGUCCAACUUACUCAUAUCAAAAGCUUGGGGGGCCUAAGAUGUGAUAGCCCGAGACCGACGUUCCAUAAGAUUCCCUUCUAUUCCGUUUUCGUCGUGUGGUUAUUUUUAUUUGUUGCAUCAUCAUCGCAUCAUGCACAUCAUAAGCAUUGCAUCGGCAACCCUUUGCCGCCAGUUUUCAAAACUUGCAUCCGUUAUUAGUUGCCGGUUCUCGUCGUUGUCCGUUCUGAGCCCGACCACACACGCACGCGCCCGCGGCAUCGUCAAAACCCUGUUUUAAAAGUGUGUGUAAAAAUUUCUCUGAUUGGGUUGGAACUUGGCGUGUGGUCGUAAUUACUUGUAGCUAGGCCGCCUGUCAAGUUCGUCGCAAUUGGAGUCCGUCUGGUACCCGAGCGGUCGACCGUAGCGGCAACGUACUCGGUCUACCGUCGGACGGUUAUCGGUGUUUUAAAAUCGCAUUGCCGCGCCGCACCGUUUCCGUCUCUUCCCCGGUUAACCUACUCUACACGGCCACUUAGCCCGUCCCGUGUUCGGAAUUGUUCGAUUCCGACCGCGCGGUUGGAUCCGGGACCAAAUUUCGCUAAACCUAGCCCCCCCUUUGUCUAUAAAUAGACUCUCCUCCUAAUUUUUAGACAACGAUCCCUCUCUCCUCGAAAACCAUGCCUCCCCGAAACCCUAACCCCACUCUCUCUCUCCUCCAUCCCUCCUCAGCGCAGCCGCCGGGCCCGCGAGCCCAAAUCCGCAGCCGCCGCCAGAAGCCCGAGCUCCCUCCCAUGGCGCCCGCAGCCCCACGCCCUAGCCCGACGCCUCGCAGCUUCGCCUGAGCCGCCUCGCCUCCCGCAAGCCUCGCCGCCGGCCGGAUCUGGUGCCCCGCGCCUCCGCCACGAUUCCCGCCGGCCGGAGCCCCACCGGAGCCUCGCCCCUUCGCGCCGGGAGUUGUGCCCCGCCACCGGCGAGCAGCCCCCGCCCUAGAGCCGCCUCAGGCCGGAUCGGCCAGAUCCGGACGCUGGGGGUCCUCCCCUGCUACGCCCUUGCCGGAGGUCGCCGGCCUCGCCAUCGAGACAAGAUGCGCCGCCGCCGGCCCCUACCUCCUCGAUCCAGGCGGGAUCGGGAGCGCCGCGAGCCGCCCCACAGCGUCCUGCUGCGCGCCUCGUGUGGAGCCCCGUGGGCCGGCCUGCCCGCGUGACCAGCGCCAACAGCGCCCAGGCCCAUCGGCCUCCUCGCUGUCUCCCUCGGCCCAUCCUCUCUCCUCCAGGCCUGCCGACCAAGUCGGCCCAAGGUGAGCCUGCACUCUAUCCAGCGCCCGUGGCGCCCUAUAGCUAUAUGUUGCUCGCUGUGGUUUUAACCCAGAUUAGGAAUCCGGCCCGAUAGUAUAUUUUUUAGGGUUUCCGAAUUAGUUAAUUUCACGGAUAUUAGUUAAUUUCUUACGCCCGUAACUUUUAACUCGUGUGUCGGAUCGAGGCAAGUUAUAUAUGGAACUUGUGUAGUUUUGUGCGUAGAUUAUGAAUUUGCAACUUGCAUAAAUGUUUGAAGUAGUUGGAACCGCCAAAUGCCUAGUUUUGUGUGGUGUCCCAAUAGGAUUUGUUCCGUAUUUAUUUUCUGUGCGUGUCCGGAUUGCUCAAACCCCGUAGAUAAAAUACUCAUGUUUUAGGAAUCCUUUUGCCAUGUAUUUUAGAGUAGUUGGUUAUAUUUUUGCAUGUGGGGUUUAGUCGCUAGUUUAUUAUUUCGCGUUAGGGCAUUUUCCCGCAUAUAUGUGUGGCGUUUAUUUUAUUUUGCAACCCCUCAUGUUAUAUAUGUUUUCGGGAUAGAAAAAUCCAUAGGAUUUAUCUGUGCAUUUAGUUUUAGCUUUUGAGCAAGUUAGUUCGCGUGAUAUUUUGCCGUGAUGUCCUUUUGUUUAUUUUGUGAGAUUUAAUCCGUGCGUGAUAUGAUGGAGUUGUCAACUAAAGAGUUGCUUUUGGAUGUUUAGUCUAGCCCCUCGUAUUUUUGGUUGCAAUAGAAAUCCAUGUUUAGGAGUGGUUUGCUUGCUCUCAACUUGCUAGGAAAUAGUGUUGUUUUAGAGAUGCUGAAAUAUUUCUAAGUCUGAAAUCUGUUAUAUUUUGUUGCUGUCUUUGCAUGAGUUAUCUGGUGAUCUGUAGCUCUUUUGAGGUUGGUGCAAUGGAAUUAGUUGUAGACUUUGGGAUUCUCUAACAUGCUAUGAAUUUUUAUGCCAUUUGGAGUCCUGUAGCUUAUGGUUUUGCUGCUGUCAAUAUGCCUUCGGAUCGAAAACUGCAGUUUCAUAAAUUGUUAUUUUCACUAAGUCUGUAACUGUGUGUGAGAAGCCAUUUUGUGACUUCUUUCNNNNNNNNNNNNNNNNNNNNNNNNNNNNNNNNNNNNNNNNNNNNNNNNNNNNNNNNNNNNNNNNNNNNNNNNNNNNNNNNNNNNNNNNNNNNNNNNNNNNNNNNNNNNNNNNNNNNNNNNNNNNNNNNNNNNNNNNNNNNNNNNNNNNNNNNNNNNNNNNNNNNNNNCCCUACUGAUCCAUGCUUCCAUGCUAGGUGUUGUUAGUUGUAUGUUGUAGUGUUUCUUGCCCUCUAACGUCUCAUGCCUUGGUUGAGCAUAUUGGAAUUGUGUAGCUCGUAGUUGUGGGGGUGUAGAAAAUGCUAUGUGACUGUUUUUGGCAGAUUAUAGUGAUUUCUUGUUUAGCUCGUAGUUGUGGAACCGUUGCUCCGUUUUGUUCGUGUCAUAUAUGAAACUUGCUUAGAAUCUCGUGUAAUUUCAUAUUAUCUUGCUGGUUGUAUGUUUUGAAGUGCUCGUGACCGUCGUUGCACACAUUUUGCAUUCAUGCCAUCAUAUCUUGCGAUGCUCGUAUCUUUUGAACCGUAGCUCUGUUGGGGAUGUUCUCUAUGUGUUAAUUGCUUGUAGCGACGCGUAGAAUCACUUGAACCUAUUUUGUUUUGCUGUUUAACAAACAUUUAAAAGUGUUAGUUCAGAUCUAGACAGAAUUAUAAAUUAACAUGUGAGGUCGUUUCGGAGGUGCUAUAUGCCAUUUCCGACCUCAUUUAAAAUGUCUAGAUAGGUAGCUUAAUUACGCUUCACCUCUUGCCAUGAGUAACCACAUUUAAUAUUGCCGUGUACCUAAUCGGGAUAGAACUAAAUAACCUGUAUGUGGAGUCUCGUCAAUAUGCAACUCGUUACAUAUUGAACUUCACUUAAUGUGUAGUGUUUGAUUGUUGUGAAUUGCCAUGCCGUGUCUUGCAUAUACUCUUUUGUUCAUGCAUCAUAUGUGUUGUGCAUCGUGUGGUGAAUAUCGUGUGUUGAUGCUUGUUUCCGGUUUGCUUCGUCUCGAUAGAGUUUCGCAAGCGUGUCGGAUUGUGAGGACCCGCUCGACUACAUCGGUUCGUCUGCUUCACGGAGUCAUUCUUCUUCCAAGCGGGAUCUCAGGCAAGAUGACAAUUUCCCCAUAUACCAUUACUAUCAUCGCUUCUAUCGAUUAUGUCUCGUUGCCUACCACAUGUUAAAUAUCAGCCUCUCAACAAUGCCAUGAAAACCUUCAACCUGUUCAACCUAGCAAACCACUGAUUGGCUAUGUUACCGCUUGCUUAACCAUGUGUUAGCGUUGCUAGUUGCAGGUGUAGUUGCUUUCAUGUGAUUACAUGGGUUCCUUGUUAUAUCACCCUAUUAAAUGCUAUUUAAUUUAAUGCACCUAUAUACUUGGUAAAAGGUGGAAGGCUUGGACUUUCUAGCCUGGUGUUUUGUUCCACCUUUGCCCCCCUUAGAUUCGGCUACCGGUGUUAUGUUCUAUAAUUGAGCGCUCCUAACACGAUCGGGGUUGUUACGGGGACCCUCUUGAUAAUUUGUUUUAGAUUAAGGCUGGUCUGGCAAGGCCCAACAUUGGUACUACAUUUGUCCAACAUAAUAAUUUGGAUAAUACUGAAAGCAUAGGGCGUCAUGAACCCGAGGAGUAAUUUUACAUAAUACAGGGAGGGCCAGUGCUGAUGGUACUGGUCCAAAACAGAGCACCGUGCGGGGCCAACCCGGGGCAACUCGGGAGAUGUCUAUCAGGCCACCGUACGCUUCGCUUAUCCGUCGUGUCCUGAGAACGAGAUACGCGGCUCCUAUCGGGAUCGUCGACACGUCGGGCGGCCUUGCUGGAUUAGUUUUACCUUUGACGAGAUAUCUUGUGCAUCGGGAUUUCGGUGAUGCUUUGGGUCAUCUCGGAGUUGAGGUUUUCCACUAAGGUGUCCGACGAGAUCGCGAGUUUCAUGAUCGAGGAUUUCUAUGCGGCUUGUGGUAAUUUGUGAUGGAUUAGUUGGAGCACCCCUGCAGGGUUAAAUCUUUCGGAAAGUCGUGUCCGCGGUUAUGUGGCAACGUGGAAACUUUGUUUAACACUGGUUCUAGAUAACUUGAAGUUAACUUAAUUAAAAUUUGCCAACCGUGUGCGUAACCGUGACUGUCUCUUUCGUGAGUUCCUUCUCCGAUCGAGGACACGGUGGAGUUAUGUCUGACGUAGAUAGGUGUUCAGGAUCAUUCAUUUGAUCAUCAGUAGUUCACGUCUGUUAUGCGUAGAUCAUCUCUCUUAUUCUUGUACUCGUAAGUUAGCCACCAAACAAAUGCUUAGUCGCUUGUUGCAGCCUCACCACUUAACCAUAUCUCACACAUUAAGUUUUGCUAGUCUUGAUAUCUUUGAAAAUGAGAUUGUUGAGUCUCCUGUGGCUCACAUAUUACUACAACAUCAGUUGCAGGUACAAGUAAAGGGUUACUUGACGAGAGUGCGUUGAUUGUUCAUUUGGAGUUGCUUCUUCUUCCUCUUCUUCAUCGAUCUAGGAUGGGUUCGAGGCCGGCAGCGUGGGAUAGCAAGGAUGGACGUCGUUCUUAUUUUCUCAUUUGUUUUCGUCCGUAGUCGGACCCUGCUAUUCUUUAUGAUGAUUAUAUAUUGUAUUGAUGUGACUCUGAUGUAGCUUGUGCCGAGUGUAAGCCAAUUCUAACAUGUACAUAUAUAUUUUUCAGUACAUGUAUUUGUAACGAUAUACACUUCUAUCCCUAACGAGGCCCUCGUGCCAAAUUAAAGAUAUGAUCGCAUCUUAGGCGUUACAUAAGAGUACUCUAUAAACACUUUGAAGAAAUAGAUUCGAGCUAAUUCAUCUAAACCUCAAAAUCUUAUUUGUGAAAACAGGUGGACUUGCGCCAAAAUAUAUAUCCGGAUGUUCCCUGUACCCAAACUGAUACACGAAACAAGUGGAGUAGGUGAAAGGAGCUUCGAGGAACCAACAACGGCAGCCUAUACGUGGUCGCAGCGUGCAGAACGGAAGUCAAGGAGCAGCAGCAGAAUUCAACGACGUACGCAUUUGAUUUUCUUGAUAGCAACGGGAGGAAGCUACGAACAACCUUUAUAUACGAGUAUUAUUGACUUGGUCGUGUACCAGGUGCUGCACUAGAAUGGGCAAACACAUGUCUUUCGAAAAUCUCAGAUAACUAUACUAGUACUACUACUAGAGAUAACGAAGCGGAAGAGAAAAUAUAUAAAAAUAUCUCGCUUGGGAAUGGACGACUUUUCUCUUUUCUGUUGCGAACCGACUAAACAUGUAACGCAAUUAGCGAACCGUCAUUAGAACGGGAUUAGUUCGUUAUUAGUCUAAACGUCGUACGGACGCAUCCGUCCGUACGGACGCCUUUUUGUACAGACGCCUUUACAUCUCGCGUUCCAAAUCCUUGUAUAAAAUCUCAGAUCAAUGAAAGAAAGAAGAUUCGCACAAACACUUUCGUUCCUAUUCUUUACACGUUAUCAGCACUGCCUCUGCCAGAGAGAAAGACAGAGACAUCACGGAGAGAAAGAGGUGAGAACAUGGCAGGAGAUUUGUCAUCCCUUGCCUUUGCCUUCGCGCGAUUCAUCCAGAAGGAGACAUACCGCCGUCGAUUUCCUCGCGCUCAGGACCACCAGACCACCCAUCACCGUCAUGGACUUGGAGGAUCCAGUGGCCCUGGACGCACCUUCUUCGCGAGGAAGAACCGCCGCCGUGCCCGCUCCCGUCGUGGUCGCCACGGCCCUGCACCGCCAAUGCAGCAAGCAGGACCGGGUACCCACGCUGUGCCCGUCAAGAUAGUCGCGCCAGCGCCUCCAGCGCCAUCCUUCGUCGCCCCUCCGAUGCCGUCUUUUGUCGCCCCUCCGAUGGGCUGGCUUCUCGCUGGAUCGUCGGCGCCAUUUCUGGGAGAGGAAGAUGCUGGACUGGCUCCACCGCCAACACCGCCGUACUACCACGGUCUCCGUGAGACCGCUCCACCCCUGCAUCCACAACUCCCAACGCCGACUCCAUCAGACGAGGAUCCGAUACACUUCUUCCCUCCUGGCUAUGGACCGGUUCCAAGCGGGGAUUGGGAAGUGAUGCCAACGGAAGAGGAGCAGCAGUGGCUCACCACCGCUGUGAAGAAAGAGCCCUCGGCUCCGGCGACGGCGGACGGGACCAGCGCCCUCAUCCUCGACAUCAACGCAGACGCGGGCGUGCAAAUCGAGGAGGCGGCUUCGUCGUCCACACCACCAUCGGCCACGCGAGCAGCAACUCCGCCCCCGCCGCCUUCUACCUCAUCGUCGGAAGCCCGUCGCAUCCUCCGCCGCUUCGCGGCCGCCCUGGAGAGGACCCGCCCCGGCCUGAGCACCGGCUCAUGGGCUCCGGCGGGCCUCAACCUCCCCGGCUACCCCGCGGGAGGAUCCCCCUUCCUCUGAACCAGGUCGCCUCGCGGCUGCGGCGGUGGCUGGGCGCUGCGGCUGCUGCCAUGGGAGAGGAGGUCGGCGUGGUGCUGUGGGGGAGCGUGGUGAGGUGGGGAAAAGGGGAGAUGGGGAAGCGAGAGAAGAGAGGAGUCGGUCUCUGGAUCUGGUGACGACCAGACCGAGACGAGGGGAACGGGAGAAGAGAAGGCGCUGGUCUCUGGAUCGAGCGUCUCACUCUCCUUAUCCUCUCUCUCUCUGUGUCGGUGCACUGGAUCGGGCCUCUUUUCCUCUCUCUCUCUGUCGGUCGGUACAAUGGGCCGAAUCCCCUUUUUCCUCUCUCUGUCGGUGCCAGGCCUGGGCCUACUCCCCCCCCAUCCGGAAAAUAUAUAUAUAUUAGUAGAGGCUGCUGGUGUUUUGGGUAUUUUCAUCAGAAAAAAAAACCCAUACACAUAUAUUGCAUAGCAGCCUUGUUUUUUUUUCUUUUCUUUUAGUGUGAUAUAUUAUUGUAUUUGAACCUCAGUUUAUUCUAUGUCUCUGUUGUAUUAGCAAUUUGUAUAUACUUAGACUAUGUAUCGUCUAAAAAAUAAAUAAAGUAUCAGACUAUGUGUACAUAUUCUAUAAGAUUGCCUCAACAUUUUUCAUUUUUUUUAGAAUAUGUAGUUCUCAAGUACAACAAUUUAUUUUCACAAUUCGAAUUUUGGAAAUCACAAGAUAGAUGAGGCAUCUACUGAACUUUGCAAAUUAUCCUCAUCACUCAAAGAAUAUCUUUGAGUGCUCUCCCAAAUAUGCGAAUUGAUGUAUAAAGCAUCAGCUAUACUUGCAAAUUUUGCUUCAUCAAAGCAUUCGUUGUUACUUAUAUUUUACUCUUAUAGUAAAACUAAAUCAUGCAUGAAAUACCAUGCAGGAAAUGGCCGGCGUCAUGAAUCGUGAAUUUCAUGAACUUGAACUAGAUGGUAGUAACUAUUUAUCAUGGGCUAUGGAUGCAAAGAUAGCCCUCGAAAGCCGUAAACUCGGUUUCACCAUCACCACACCCGAUGAAGGCGCCGGAGAAAUCCCCACGGCAGCCAAAUAUACAUCUUUAAGUUUCUUAAGGCACCAUCUUCAUCCGGACUUAAAGUCGGAAUAUUUUAUGGAAGAAGAUCCACUAGUUUUGUGGAAUUCCCUCAAGGAGAGAUAUGACCAACAAAGAGCAGUUAUGCUGCCAGAAGCACAGAGAGAAUGGUCCCUCAUAAGGUUCCAAGACUUCAAAUCUGUGGCAACAUAUAACUCUGCAGUUCACAAGGUCAACUCAAAACUAAGGUUUUGUAAUCAGGCAAUUUCUGAAGAAGACCUUAUUGAGAAGACCUUGUGCACUUUCCACCCCUCGAUGAGGGUACUACAACAGCAGUACCGUCAACAAAAAUAUAAAAAGUAUUCUGAGCUCAUAUACACUCUACUUCAGGCUGAGAAACAUGAUGAACUUCUCAUGAAGAAUCAUCAAAUACGCCCAACGGGCUCAAUGCCACUCCCUGAAGCACAUGCUAACACUCAGUUUACCAAAAAGUAUGGGGGCAACAAAAAGAAUUUCAAGAAAUUCAAUGAAAAGUGGAAAAAGAACAACAAGUAGAAAAGCUUUGGUCAAUCUAUAGGUAAAGGUCACUUCAAGAAAAAUGACCGAAACACCAACUCCGAGAUUUGUCAAAGGUGUGGAUGUACUAACCAUCGUAUUAGCAAAUGCCGAACUCCCAAGCAUCUAGCGGAUUUAUAUAUAAAAUCCAUUGGGAAAGGCAAACAAGUUCAUGGGAAAGCCGAAGCUCACUUCAACGCUUUACAACAAGAAGGAAACCUUGAAGCUAGCACUUCUCAAAGCGCUCCUAAGGAAACAAGGCAGAAGGAUGAAGACCUUCUUGAUAUUGACAACCUGAUGGUGGAAUACACCCAAGACGCAUAUGGAGAUCUCAUAUAAUCUCCGCAUCACUCAUUUGAUGUUAUCAGCUAUUUUAUUGUAAUAAUGGAUGUUAUAAUUUAUAUAACUCUAAGUAGAAUAAAGUCCUACGGACCAAUUGUAUUAUGUAGUUCAAACAUAAUAUCAUAUUUCUAUUUGUAACUGUAAUAUGAAUACUUUGUAUAUGUAUAUAUAUAUGUGAGUAAUAUGAAUAAAGUUUCCUAAAAUAUUCUCUUACUCUAUAUAGAUUUUACGGAAAAAUAAUCCAAUGGAAGAAGAAUUAUGUUUAGUGGACAGUUGUACCACUAACACAAUUUUAAGGGAAAUAAAAUAUUUCCAAACUCUAACUAAGAGAAAAGGGAAUAUCAUGACAAUCGUCGGUCGCGAUGCAUCAAUUAUUGGUUCAGGACGAGCCACACUUGUUCUACCUAUGGGUACUACGAUUGUAAUUGAGGAUGCACUCUUGUAUCCUGAAUCUACACGCACCCUUCUAAGUUUCAAAGACCUCAGAUCAAAUAAUUUCCAUCUGGAAACAAUUUCUGAAAAUAAUUCUGAAUAUUUGCUUUUAACAAAAAGCAAUGGGUCUGAGAAACAACUUCUUGAAAAAUUCCCCUCACUUUCAUCUGGAUUAUAUUACAGUUAUAUAAAACCCGUACCACAUGUUGCGUACAAAAUAAUUUUUCAUGAUCUUGAUAAAUUCAAGACUUGGCAUGAUCGCCUAGGUCAUCCUGGUAUAGGGAUGAUGAGAAAAAUUAUUGACAAUUCUAUUGGUCACAGCCUUCCAACUAAAUUUUUUCCAAAAUCAUCAGAUUUUGUGUGCACCGCAUGUGCAACUGGGAAAUUAAUUAUAAGACCAUCUUAUCUUAAGGUAAAAAGUGAGUCCCUUAACUUUCUUGAACGCAUUCAAGGAGAUAUAUGUGGUCCAAUUCAACCACUAUCAGGACCUUUUAGAUAUUUCAUGGUGCUCAUAGAUGCAUCUACUAGAUGGUCACAUGUAUGUCUAUUGUUCACACGAAAUCAUGCUUUUGCCAAGAUAAUUGCUCAAAUUAUCAAAUUAAGAGAAAAUCAUCUUGAAAAUAGGAUAAAAACAAUUCGAAUGGACAAUGCCGCUGAAUUCUCUUCACGAGCAUUCAAUGACUACUGCAUGGCUAUGGGCAUUCAUUUAGAACAUUCUGUGCCUUAUGUCCAUAUUCAAAAUGGUUUGGCUGAGUCUCUCAUAAAAAGAGUAAAAUUAGUUGCUCGACCACUAUUACAGAAUUGUAAUUUACCAGCAUCUUGUUGGGCACAUGCGGUAUUACACGCCGCAGAUCUGAUACAAAUCAGACCAACUGCAUAUCAUACAACCUCCCCACUUCAACAAGUACGUGGCACUCAGCCAAGUAUUUCCCAUCUGCGAAAAUUCGGUUGCGCAGUAUACGUACCGAUAUCACCACCGCAGCGUACCACAAUGGGCCCCCACAGAAAACUAGGGAUCUAUGUGGGUUAUAAUUCUCCGUCAAUUAUUAAAUACCUUGAACCUCUUACAGGGGACCUGUUUACUGCCCGCUACGCUGAUUCAAUUUUUGAUGAGGACCAUUUCCCGGCAUUAGGGGGAGAAUCAAACCACAAAGAAUGCCAGGAAAUAGAUUGGAAUGUAACAGGCAUUCAGUCCUUAGAUCCACGUACUAAAGAAUCUGAAACUGAAGUUCAGAGGAUCAUAGAUUUGCAACACAUUGCAAAUAAUCUGCCAGAUGCAUUUACUGACCAUAAAGGUGUCACUAAAUCGCAUAUUCCUNNNNNNNNNNNNNNNNNNNNNNNNNNNNNNNNNNNNNNNNNNNNNNNNNNNNNNNNNNNNNNNNNNNNNNNNNNNNNNNNNNNNNNNNNNNNNNNNNNNNNNNNNNNNNNNNNNNNNNNNNNNNNNNNNNNNNNNNNNNNNNNNNNNNNNNNNNNNNNNNNNNNNNNNNNNNNNNNNNNNNNNNNNNNAGUGGAGGUACCAACUAAAACCACUCAAACCCCAAAUGAGAGCAAGAGGGGGAGAAAUCUGGUUAGCCGGAAUAUAGCUUCUCAAAAGCCUCCGCGGAAACAGAGGAAACCAAAUCCUCUACGAGUAAAUGCAAUUCAACCUCAAGUUGAAGGACACCAACCAGAUGCUCAACAUCUUGAACCCAGCAUAAAUGCGCAUAAAAACAUAAUAGCUGGGACAUCGGAACACCAUGACUCUAUUGUUGUGGGAAAUCACAUAGAGUCUGAGGGUAUAAAAGAAAUUUCCAUAAACUAUAUAGAAUCAGGAGAAUCAUAUAAUAGAGAGACUACAAUUGUCGACAUAUAUUUUGCCUCUGAAAUUGCUGAAACCCUUCAACUGGAUCCAGAACCAAAGACCGUCAGGGAGUGCCUCAAGCGUCCUGAUUGGCCUAAAUGGAAGGAAGCAAUUGAGGCAGAACUGCACUCGCUCAACCAAAGAGAGGUAUUUUCCUCAAUAAUACCUACUCCUCAAAAUGUCUUCCCUGUGGGAGCAAAAUGGGUUUUUGUUCGAAAAAGGAACGAAAACAAUGAGGUGGUGAGAUACAAAGCGAGGCUUGUAGCACAAGGGUUCACACAGAGACCCGGCAUCGAUUACGAUGAUACAUACUCUCCUGUUAUGAGUGGAAUAACGUUUCGAUACUUAAUAUCUAUGGCAGUACAAAUGAGUUUAUCCAUGCAGUUGAUGGAUGUAGUGACAGCAUACUUAUAUGGGUCACUCACAUCGGACAUAUAUAUGAAAGUCCCUGAAGGACUUAAAAUGCCGAAUCCAAAAGCAAAUCGCAACGCAUAUUGUGUAAAAUUACAGAAGUCACUAUAUGGCUUAAAACAGUCGGGUAGAAUGUGGUAUAACCGACUAAGUGAAUUCCUUAUUCAGAAAGGCUACUCAAAUAAUGAUGAUUGCCCUUGUGUAUUUAUAAAGAAGUCCUCAAAUGGAUUUUGCAUCAUCUCGGUGUACGUUGAUGACCUCAAUAUCAUUGGAAGUAUACCUGAUAUCAAAGAAGCACGCAAUCACCUAAUGGCGGAAUUCGAGAUGAAAGAUUUGGGAAAAACCAAAUUCUGCUUAGGCUUACAGCUUGAGCACCUUCCCUCAGGAAUUUUAGUAUACCAACCUGCCUAUAUUCAAAAGGUUUUGGAAAAAUUUAAUAUGGAUAAAUCAUAUCCAACCAAAACACCCAUGGUUGUCAGAUCCCUUGAUAUGAAUAAAGAUCCUUUUAGACCUCGGGAUAAUGACGAAGAGAUAUUGGGACCUGAGUUCCCAUAUCUCAGUGCCAUUGGUGCGCUAAUGUACCUUGCAAAUUGCACCAGGCCUGAUAUUGCAUUUGCAGUAAAUUUACUAGCUAGACAUAGCGCUGCUCCAACAAAGCGUCAUUGGACGGGAGUAAAGAAUAUCCUUAGAUAUUUACAUGGCAUAAAAGAUCUUGGCUUAUUCUAUCAGAAAAACCAAGACAUGACUAUGGUAGGAUAUACUGACGCUGGCUAUCUAUCUGAUCCUCACAAUGCCAGGUCACAGACAGGUUUCAUAUUCUUAUAUGGUGGAACUGCUUUUUCAUGGAAGUCAACAAAACAGACUCUCGUAGCAACCUCCACUAAUCAUUCUGAAAUCAUUGCAUUAUUUGAAGCAUCAAAAGAAUGUGUAUGGCUUCGCAGGAUGAUUAACCACAUUCAAACAGCAUGUGGUGUUGGUUCAUUAGGAUCACCAACUAUUAUUUAUAAAGAUAAUGCAGCUUGUAUUGCUCAAAUGCAAAUGGGUUAUAUAAAAAGCAAUAUCACAAAACACAUUUCUCCUAAAUUAUUCUAUCAUCAUGAAUUACAGAAAAAUGGAGAAAUUGAUAUUUUGCAAACUAAAUCAUGUGACAAUCUAGCAGAUCUGUUCACAAAGUCUUUACCGAAUUCAACAUUCCAGAAAUACAUUCAUGUAAUUGGUAUGAGACGACUUCGUGAUUUGAAAAGUUCAGGGGGAGAAAUCUCCUGAAAAUAUAACCCUUUUAAUUAUCAUCAGGUAAUGAAUAUUGUACUCUUUUCCUUUAUGAGUUUUUCCAACAGGUUUCUCAUAAAAGGUUUUUAACGAGACAAUUAAAUACAAGCAUUGAUGCAUGCCAUAUCAUGUUUCUCCUUAUACUUUUCCUACUAGGUUUUAAAGGAGUUUUUCAUGGCACAUCUCAUUGUACUCUUUUCAUUAUGAGUUUCUUUGAAAUUUUUUCUCAUAAUGUUUUUAAUGAGACAAUAUCUUCAUUAAGAUCAUAUGCUAUACUUUCUAUUUUUCCUAUGAAGGUUUUUAAAGGAAAGUGUCUAAAGCAUAUUUAUUGUUCUCUAAAACUCACUAAUAAUUUUCUCCUUCUUUGAAGGUUUUUCUCAUAUGAGUUAUCAAGAGACAAUAAUCACUAUAUGUUGUAUCAUUUUCUCCUUAUCAUUUUUCUCACUGGGUUUAAAGGGAGUUUUAACAACAUAUCUAUACAUUUCUCCUCAUAUUUUUUCCCACAGGUUUUUUGGGGGAGAAUCUCAAGAAUUGACUGAUGAAUAUACAAGGAGCUUUCCAUAGUGGAUUACUCAAGACGGCGUUGUACAAGAGGGAGUGUUGCGAACCGACUAAACAUGUAACGCAAUUAGCGAACCGUCAUUAGGACGGGAUUAGUCCGUUAUUAGUCUAAACGUCGUACGGACGCAUCCGUCCGUACGGACGCCUUUUUGUACAGACGCCUUUACAUCUCGCGUCCCAAAUCCUUGUAUAAAUAUCUCAGAUCAGAUCAAUGAAAGAAAGAAGAUUCGCACAAACACUUUUGUUCCUAUUCUUUACAUUUUCCACGGGUAUUAUACAGUAUUUUGCAACUAGACCUUGCAUGCUGACUGAUGGGCUUUCCACAGGUUGCCGUUGCGCCCAAGCUGCAGCCACCAUACACACCUGGUCAAUGUUCCCCUCCCCCCAAGUUUGAUCAUUCCUUCCUGCGCCCACGCCCACGCCCACGCCCCCUGUCCUGGUCAAAAGCAACGAAUUCCUGAGGCAAACCGUACGUAAAAGUCGCUAACUGCGUGCGCACGCGCUGCACAAAAGCUUCCCUAUAUAAAGAGCAGAGCACCAGCCUAGCUGCUGCAAAGAACAUCAAACUUCAGACACAUACACACAAGAACAUACACACAAGAACACAUCGACCAAAGCACAGCGGGAUCAUCGUCUCGAUCAGGACCAGCCUCGGCCAGGCCAUACCUCAUGGGUUCGUCCACGACGCGCCUUCUCCUCGCGGUGGCCCUCGCCGUCCUUCUAACGUCGACGUGCCAUGUCGCUGAUGCCGCGAGGCCCGCGCCGGCGGCGGACCAGGCGCGGCUGCUCGACGGCGACGUCGUCCAGGCGGUCACGCUGGCGGACAAGGCGAGGCAGACGGUGGAGCUGCUCAUGGCCAGGUUGCCGGCCGGACCCAGCCCCAAGGGACCCGGCCACUAGUAGCUAGACGACGGAGACAGGGUUUCUGCGAUGCCGUUCUUUUGUUCAUGUUUCUUUUCCGGGGAAGGAAGACCUGAUUCUUUCUAGUUUACAAAUUCAUUUUUGAGGGGAAAAAACAUUCUCUGUUGUUACCUGUAUUAUACUUAUACAGUACCGGUGCUGCUGAUAUGAGAUACUAGUGAACUAAUCAAUACAAAGGUCAAUGAUCACAAUUCUUUACAAUCACUGAUAAGUUAAGUAGUAUAUCUUACUAUUUGGUUACACAGGUUUUUCUUGUCAUCACUCCGUCCGGUUUGAAACGGAUUUACUCUGUUCAGGUUUUCGCACAUUAUCAAUAAAUUUGCACAGGGAAGGAUCAAAGAAGGCCUUCAUGUAGUAAGCACAGGCGAGGAUUUUGCUGACACUAUUUUCGACAUGCUACCUCCUAACUCCUAAAAUAAAAAAUCUCCUAACUCCUUGUUCCUCUUCCCCUUCUUCCCAGAAACUUGAGUUUUUUCGACAUACUACACUAUUUUCGUCUGGAUUAACCAGGAUUAAGGAAGACUUCAGGGCAAAGCGUAGCGGAAACCAUGCAUGCGAGUUGAGCGGCAAACUAGUCAGACAUUCGAAAACACAAGUCGAUUUGUGCUUACAAGAUGCACCGAAAUUUGCGGCUCAAAAAUGAACACUAUAAAAUUAAAAAUUGCCCUCACG
rnacentral:lncRNA from 1 species